rnacentral:rRNA from 1 species
AUUGAACGCUGGCGGCAGGCCUAACACAUGCAAGUCGAGCGGUAGCACAGGGAGCUUGCUCUCGGGUGACGAGCGGCGGACGGGUGAGUAAUGUCUGGGAAACUGCCUGAUGGAGGGGGAUAACUACUGGAAACGGUAGCUAAUACCGCAUAACGUCGCAAGACCAAAGAGGGGGACCUUCGGGCCUCUUGCCAUCAGAUGUGCCCAGAUGGGAUUAGCUAGUAGGUGGGGUAACGGCUCACCUAGGCGACGAUCCCUAGCUGGUCUGAGAGGAUGGCCAGCCACACUGGAACUCAGACACGGUCCAGACUCCUACGGGAGGCAGCAGUGGGGAAUAUUGCACAAUGGGCGCAAGCCUGAUGCAGCCAUGCCGCGUGUAUGAAGAAGGCCUUCGGGUUGUAAAGUACUUUCAGCGGGGAGGAAGGUGUUGAGGUUAAUAAUCUCAGCAAUUGACGUUACCCGCAGAAGAAGCACCGGCUAACUCCGUGCCAGCCGCCGCAGUAAGAC